GACAGAGGGUGCAAACGCUGUUCGGAAUUACUGGGCGUAAAGCGUGCGCAGGCGGCGCGUUAAGACAGGUGUGAAAGCCCCGAGCUUAACUUGGGAAUUGCGCUUGUGACUGGCGUGCUGGAGUGUGGCAGAGGGAGGUGGAAUUCCACGUGUAGCAGUGAAAUGCGUAGAGAUGUGGAGGAACACCGAUGGCGAAGGCAGCCUCCUGGGCCAGCACUGACGCUCAUGCACGAAAGCGUGGGGAGCAAACAGG
rnacentral:rRNA from 1 species